GGGGGCCCGCACAAGCGGCGGAGCAUGCGGAUUAAUUCGAUGCAACGCGAAGAACCUUACCAAGGCUUGACAUGGACCGGACCGGGCUGGAAACAGCCCUUCCCCUUUGGGGCCGGUUCACAGGUGGUGCAUGGUUGUCGUCAGCUCGUGUCGUGAGAUGUUGGGUUAAGUCCCGCAACGAGCGCAACCCUCGUUCCAUGUUGCCAGCGCGUAAUGGCGGGGACUCAUGGGAGACUGCCGGGGUCAACUCGGAGGAAGGUGGGGACGACGUCAAAUCAUCAUGCCCCUUAUGUCUUGGGCUUCACGCAUGCUACAAUGGCCGGUACAAAGGGUUGCGAUACUGUGAGGUGGAGCUAAUCCCAAAAAGCCGGUCUCAGUUCGGAUUGGGGUCUGCAACUCGACCCCAUGAAGUCGGAGUCGCUAGUAAUCGCAGAUCAGCAACGCUGCGGUGAAUACGUUCCCGGGCCUUGUACACACCGCCCGUCAAGUCACGAAAGUUGGUAACACCCGAAGCCGGUGGCCUAACCCCUUGUGGGAGGGAGCUGUCGAAGGUGGGACUGGCGAUUGGGACUAA
rnacentral:rRNA from 1 species